AUGAAGUCUCACUUUGUUGCUCAGGCUGGUCUUGAACUCUUGGCUUGCAGUGAGCUGCUGAGAUCACGCCACUACACUCCAGCCUGGGCAACAGAGUGAGACUCCAU
rnacentral:pre_miRNA from 1 species